AUGCUUACCUCUCUCGAUCUCUCUCCAGUCUCUACGUCCAUCUGGUCCGCCCAGAUUUUAUUUAGAAACUCUGAUUCUCUACAAACCCAGGACAAUGGCGGGCAAUCCGACCAACAUCUCUCCAUCUUUUCGUUUUCCAGGUCUCCAAUCUAUCUUAUGAUGAUGUCGUCUUCCAAGAAUUAACAAUAGAUCAUGUUUUAGUUGGAGUUCCUUGCUGAGGAUGAAAUGGUGGAGAUUGUUCCCAACAUCAGGAUGGAAGCUCUGCACAUGAUCUGCGUUAUUUCAUAUCUUCUUAUCCUUUUUUCCCCUUUAAAAGGCGUUUUUCUUCUUGCAAGAUCGCUGCAAAUUGCAAUUGGAAAAAAAGAUGAGGGUGAUUUUGGCCCAUUCUUUCCACAAAUUGGUAGCAAAGUGCCGCUUUGGCUUGGCUUAGCUCUGAAGAAACGUGGCAUAUGCACCAUUCGCACUCCAGAAUGGAUUUCUGUUGGAUAAAGGCCAUUUUUUCAGAUUACAGUAAGGCAGUCAAUUGAUGUUGGCUUUUGUCAGAGAGGUUAACGCAGGUGCUGGAAGCGGAACAAGAGUCUCCUAGAGAAUUUCAGCCAUUGCCAUUCCAUUAUGUAGAAAUCUCAAGACUUUUAUUUGAUCAGUAUGUAGUCCAUACUAUGUUUUCUUCCAUGGUUUUUUUUGUUUUAUAUACCAUUUUAGGAUGCUGAAUUUAAGUACACGCUGUUUCUGGUGCUCAUGAUGACACCACGGACAUAUAUA